GUGCGCGCCGCCGAGAAAGCAAGGAGCACCCCCGGAUAGGGCUCCUGAGAGGCCCAUCUAAAGGCUCAGCCAGUGAGGGAAGCCGGAGUUGGGUUGGGAGGCGGGCACCCGGAAGAGAAGAUGCUCUGUGCUGCGCGCGAGGCUCUCCAACUGGAAACGGAGGGGCGGAAAAAGGCGGCUGCGCGCAGGCACCAUGUUUCAGUUUUUGGUGAGUCUUUUCCCAGGGGCGCAGAGGCUGGGUUGGCUUGGGGCAGGGGUGGGCAGGCGUCAGGAUCGAAGGUGCCCUUUGGAUCUCUCUCUCUCUCUCUCUCUCUCUCUCUUUCUCUCUCUCGCUCAGAUCCCCCAACCAGGGCCGAGCGCAAAAGAGCACAUAGUUAGAAUGGGCACAGAUCCCCGUUUUCAGUUCCAGAACUUGAACUCAGCUCGCGGUGCUUUCAGGGGAAAGUGUAACCUUGGCUAACUGUCUUCCUUUCAUUAGUUUGGAAGGUCUCUCUUUUGCUGCCACUGUAAAACAGAGUGGGAGUCAAGAAACUCUUACCGAUUUGCUGUACAGUAGUAGGUCACCCGGAUUUCGACCAGUUGAUCCCGCGAUCUAGUGAGGGCAGAGGAAGAGAGGCGAAUUUGCUGUCACAUUGGGCCUCUAGAAGAGAAAAAGGGUGGUUUGCCUACGAAAGACACCCCCACCUUUUAAAUGAGCAGAGGAAUAAAUUAAGGCAUCGAGAGGGCAAGCCUGUAAGUAGGAGUAAACCCCAAGAUAAGCAGUGGGCUAGGUGUGUGUAGGAUUGCACCGUAAAACAUUUAUUUGGGAGUGCGUCCCUCUGACUUCAAACUUCUGAGUAGAUACACAAAGAAGGUUGUGUUGUGAGCCUGGAAACUUAUACAGUGGUACCUCGGGUUAAAAACUUAAUUUGUUCCAGAGGUCCGUUCUUAACCUGAAACUGUUCUUAACCUGAGGUACCACUUUAGCUAAUGGGGCCUCCCGCUAACGCCACGCAGCUGGAGCACUGUUCUCAUCCUGAAGCAAAGUUCUUAACCCGAGGUACUAUUUCUGGGUUAGCGGAGGCUGUAACCUGAAGCGUCUGUAACCUGAGGUACCACUGUAUAUCCCUUCCCACGCCCAAGGUCUGUUGUUGUUUAUUAAAUUUGUUGGUCGCUUUUGUCUUACCCAGGCCAGCUCAAAGCAACUUACAAACAAACAGAGACAAAAACAGAGGCAUCUAAUGUUUCCCCAUCCCAAUUGUUCUAAGGAUGAAAGCUUUCUCCUGACCCACAUUUGUGGCAGCUGUCAGCAGCUCAGUAAUAUGGCAUCUAUUUGGUAGUGUCUGUAAACUGCUGUUGUAAUGACACUGUUCAGUAUUUUCUCAGCAUCAUUUCACAUGGGUUAAGUGCUCUUCUGUUCCACUUACAAAUCAUAAGAGCGGAAUAACUGCUCUGAGGAAGGUCUGGCCAGCCUAAUGUUCUCUUUCCAUUAGUGAUGUCUUUGGAAACUCACAAGCAGGGCAUCAAGAUAGCAGCCAUCUCCCCUUGCUUGUUCCUAGCACCUUCCUGAUACAUUCCUGGGCUUAUUUUGUCUUUUCAAACACAAUCAAGCUGCUUUCCCACACUGUCAUCUUUGUAUGCCUUCUGCCUUAAGCUGUCUAUUUCAUGCAGCCUGACAACGCUUUCCAGAGGCCGUACAACCCCUUAACAUAUCUCAGAAAACAACACUGGUUGUUGUUUUAAAUAAAGCCAUUUAAUUGUGUCCUGUAUAUAUAUUGGAACUAUUGAACCUGUGGAUCUCCAGAUAUUGCUGAACUCCAUUUCCUAUCAGCCCCAGUCAGCAUGGCCAACAGCCAGGGAUGAUGGGAGCUGUAGUCCCAACAAUGUCUGGAGGGCUAUAGAUUCCCCACCUCUGCCGUGCUGGUGGCUGCAGUAGGCUAGAUCAUGCCUGAUGUGCUCAAUAGUGCAUCUCAAAACUGGGUGCUCCACCAUCUUAAGAGUGUAUUUCUCAUUAUUGGGGACCAACACAAUUACAGUGGUACCUCGGGUUACAUACGCUUCAGGUUACAUACGCUUCAGGUUACAGACUCCGCUAACCCAGAAAUACUACCUCGGGUUAUGAACUUUGCUUCAGGAUGAGAACAGAAAUCGUGCUCUGGCGGCGUGGCGCCAGUGGGAGGCCCCAUUACCUAAAGUGGUGCUUCAGGUUAAGAACAGUUUCAGGUUAAGUACAGACCUCCGGAACGAAUUAAGUACGUAACCAGAGGUACCACUGUACUAUUUGCCUGUCAAAUUUCUCUUUGGGAUUCCCUGGAUUUUGAUCCAUUGGGGGCCUAUGCGUUUCCUUUUAGAUUGAUGCAACAAUAUCUUUGCAUCAGUUUUGCUUAAGUGCUUUGGUGAUAGCUCCUGAUAUUUGUUAAUGCAUUUUGACAUAUUUAUCCCUGUGACCUUUCACACAGCCAGGCAGUUUGCUGGACCAGUUGUUGUUAGUGCCCACAACAUACCAGAAGUUUCCAAGUUGUGGGUUUCCUUUUUCUUUUUCUAGCUGUCUCUAGAAAAACAAGAUAUUAACUUGUCCAUAUCCAAAGUUCAACUCGUUUCAUGCCUGAUAAGGUGCAUGUCUUCUACUCUUCCCCUGUUUGUUUCACUGAGCUGCUGCUGCAAUCCUAGACCCACAUACCUGGGAAUAAACCCCUUUUGAAAUCAAUGGGACUGAACAGCAUAAUUCUGUGCAUGUCAUCUCAAGUUCUUUGGGAGAGGGCUGUUGUGCUCUGGUCCUGUUCGCUUGCAGGCUUCCUGCUGGCAACUGGUUGCCCAUUGAAAACAGGAUGACAGAGUAGAUGGACCUAUGGGCAGAUCCAGCAGAGUUUUUCUUAUGUUUCAACCUGGAUGUUGAAUUAAUGGAACUUCAGAUUUCUAAAUAUUGGUUCAGAAAUGUAGUCACACCCUCAUGUGGAUAGGUAAAUCAGCCACAUGUAUCAGUGUACUGCAAAUAAUGUACAGUCAUACCUCGGGUUACAGACGCUUCAGGUUGCGCAUUUUCAGGUUACGGAUGCGCCAAAACCUGGAAGUACUGGAACAGGUUACUUCCAGGUUUCGGUGCGUGCACAGAAGUGCCAAAUUGCAACCCGCACGUGCACAGACGCGGCGCUGCGGGUUGCGAAUGCUGCAGGUUGCGAAUGUGCCUCCCGCACGGAUCACGUUUGCAACCCGAGCGUCCACUGUAUUACAUAUAUAUUAGCAAAUGCAAAUCUUAUGCACAUUGGUGUUCUCUCUUGCUGUUUUCCGUGAUGCAUAGUUGCUACCCUAUUGCAAAACAACUACUGCUUGCUCCACUGCCGUGUUAAAAAGGGAAGGUGGGAUGCUGGAGAUGGAAUGGUUUCUGGCCAGGGCAUCUGCACCAAGAGCUGAACAACUUCCCAGCAUUCUCAGGUGAAACACUGAGAACCUGAAUCACAGACUUGUAGAGUUGGAAGGUACCAUGAGGGUCAUCUAGACCAACCCCCUUUUGAUGCAGGAAUCUUUUACCCAACGUGGGGCUGAAACCCAUGGCCCUGAGAUUAAGAGUCUUAUGCUGUCCCAAAUAAGCUAUCCAUAGUCAGUAGAAGUCUGGAUGUCUGCUGGUUGGCCAUUAUAAGCCAGGCAGGCCAGAGAUUCCCUGCAAUCACCUGAUUACUCACCUCCCUGUCAAGAUCUUCCAUAAUGGCUCAGGAUACUAAUCCUAGCCACCCUUGAGCCAGCCACAUAAGCACUUUAAAGCCAUUUCUGUGGGGAGGGGUCAAGCAUAUGCUUAACUGUCCCAUUGAAAUGAACUGUCCCAUUGAAUUUGAAAUACGUGCUUUUAUUUUCCACUGGAUUGUUCCUGCUGUAUUCCUGGGACUCCCUUGGGCAACUCACGACAUCCCUGAUUCUUACACUUCUUGAAAUACAGUGCCACACAGAUGUUUGCUUCCUGAGCUUUGGCUAUAUUUUGAUCAGGCAUUAGUAAGAUGCAUGUAAAGUUCAGAGGUUCACAUGUCUCCUUUGCAGUAAACAUUAGGACCAUGGUCCCAUAAACAGAGCUACCGGGUCUCUUAUUGAAAGACAUUCUGUGUGCUUGAGCAAGAGGCAAUAGAACUGCAUUGUUAUUCCACCCUUCCUCCCGGGAACUUGGAACACAAAAGGCCAUAGGUCAGUGGAAGAGAACAUGUUUUGUAUGCUGGUCUCUAGUUCAGUCUUUGGCACCUCCACAUACGGUUGGGAGAUACACCCGUCUGAAACCAUUGAAAGCUACUGCUGGUCAGCAUAGAUAGAUCAUACUGAGCUAGAUGGACCAGUGCUCUGACUCAGUCUAAGGCAGCUUCCUAUGUCCCUGCCACAAUCCUGCGAGGUAGAUCAGGCUGAGAGUGAGUGACUGGCCCAAGGCAACCAUGAGAUGAGUCUGUUGGAUCAGGCCAGGGGUCCACCUAGUCCACCUUCCUGUUCUCACAGUGGCCAAGCAACAUAAUCUCAGCAUAACCAUUAAAAAGGAUUCCUGAAUUGACAUACAAAUUGCGAGACAAGGACAACUGUGACUUCGAGGAAGAAUGGGAACUUUAUACAAACUAUUUAAAAACACAACAAAAUGAAUUGGACUCUUGGCAGGUUUUGAAUAAACAUAUGUAGAUUUACUGUUGAUAACAUGGCAGACGGAUAAUGUAAGGAUUUGUAUAAUUUUAUAAUAUGCAGAGAAUAAUAUGUGCUGAGAAAUCAGAGAGAGGAGCUGAGGGAUGUCUCUGGGGGAGGGGAGGGAGGGUUUGAGGGGUGGGGGAAAAAGGGGGGAAAUAAUGAAUAUGUUAUGUUUUGAUAAGUUGUCAUGUUGAAAUUGCUAAUAAAAAAAAAGAAUUCCUGAAAAUACAGGGAAGUAGCAUCCUCUAAAAUGUGCAAGAGUUCCGUGGAAGACGCAUAGGAUGGCAAACUGAUGCGCAGUAGGUUUUCGAAGUUUGGGCAAUCUGUGCAUUGGGUAUGGCUGCACAUUCCCUUUGAAAUGCGCUCCCAGUGAACAUCAGACGAGCACCUAGUUACUGGCAUUUAGGCACCUACUUUAAACUCAUCUGUUCACCUAGGCUUUCCCUGGGAGGUGAUCUUACUAUCUUCUUGCAGCACGGUUUGGAAAUCACAGGCCUACAAAUCAGCCCCCAGGCAGCACAUCUGUCUGUCCAAUUUUAAUAAAGUUGCUCUGUGUGGAGGGUCUACAUAUUAAAGUUCUGGGGUUUUGGGGGGCUUUGUAUGUGAUGCUCCUGGUGAUUGUGGCUCAGAGAUGUGCUUAGAGAGUCUUGCAACCUUUAAAGCUACUUUCUCUAACCAGGUUCCUCCAGAUGUUUUUUUGACUUCAUCUGACCACUGGUCAUGCUGGCUGGCUUUGAUGGGAUCUGUGGUCCCAAACAUCUGGAGGACAACCAGACUAGGGAAGGCUGUUGUAAAUGGCAUCCUGUGCCCAUAUUUCAUUCCAAGUCCAGACUUUUAAUUAAAUUAUUGUGGGUGUUUGUGUAAUUUUACAGUAAAUCAGACUUUAAUUUGUUUUUCUCUUUUAUUUAUACAGCUACCUAGCUCAGAUGCUGAUCUUUGUUGAGAGUCGGCCUUUUGUUGUUGUUGCUAUUGAUUUUCUUUUUUAAAUGCUUCACAAUCCAAAGCAAAGUCGGAAUUGUUCGAAGGACGUCUCUUAUUUCUCUGGCUUUGUCUCUUAUUCCUCUGGAGUAGAUGUCUGAUGUUCUCUUGCAUUGCAAAUCCACAAUAAAAAUCACUUCUGUGGAAGACUUUCUGAUUAGUGUCUGAGAACCAGAAGAAUGGAAGAGGGAAAAGCUGACAUAUUCAGCCUUGCCUUCUCUUCCCUGUUUUGGUAACUUACAGUGUCGGGACUCUGCUCCUUCCUAGUUAAGACUGUUGCAGGCAGAUAAAGGGAUAAUCUCAUAAACGGGGCUUUUGUUUUUCAAAAGACCAAAGUAACUAUGUGCUUUUUUAAAGGACUAUGCAUAAAAUUAGGAUAACUGUGGGAAGCCCUAUACAUUCCAGCUAGUGUUUUGCAGUCCUCACUUGGCAUGCAAAUUGCCGAUUGUCAAACGGGCUGCCAGCUUUUUCCCUCCUAAGACUAUUUAAAUCCACUUGCAGAUGCCGCAGCAAGUAAAAAGUACUUUAAAAUAUCGGAAAAUGAGCUGUGUGUAGGCCCCACAGGGGGAGGGUAUUUUGCUUCAGGAACUGACCUUUUAUGAACUCCGAAAUAAAUGUGCCAGAGUACAUGGUUGCCACUACCCUAAACUCUGAGGGUGGGAUUCAGUGUUGUGCUGUGAUGAACUUUCCAUCUGCACAAAGCAUCACAGCUUGCCAAAUGGAAACACCACCCCUUUCCCCACCCACAUGCUCUGAUAUCAGGCUUCACCUGACACAGAAUGCCACAGAAGAGAGAAUCAGGAUGCAAGAUGGCCUUAACAGAAUGGAGAACUGGGCCAAAACUAACCACUAGCCUGAUCUAGCUGACUAUUCUUAUGUUCUUAACAUGAAGGUAAAGGUAAAGGGACCCCUGACCGUGACUGACUCUGGGGUUGCGGCGCUCAUCUUGCUUUAUUGGCCGAGGGAGCCGGCAUACAGCUUCCGGGUCAUGUGGUCAGCAUGACUAAGCUGCUUCUGGUGAACCAGAACAGUGCAUGGAAACGCUGUUUACCUUCCCGCUGGAGCAGUACCUAUUUAUCUACUUGCACUUUGAGGUGCUUUCGAACUGCUAGGUUGGCAGGAGCAGGGACCGAGCAACGGGAGCUCACCCCGUUGUGGGGAUUCAAACCGCCGACCUUCUGAUCGGCAAGUCCUAGGCUCUGUGGUUUAACCCACAGCGCCACCUGUGUCCCAUCAACGUGAAGAUAGGUGUGUCCAAAUAAACCGGAUGUCAAUGAACAACAAUUCCCCUCUUCCCUGGCUGCUGGGGGUUGUAGUUCAGCCACAUCUGGGUGGCCAAAGUUUUCCCCACGCCUAAAAUAGACAGAGCCAGCUGAGACCAUGUUGUUCUCAUAUAGAUAUUUGAUCUGUGGUUAGCUUUGCCCGUUGACAUGCUCCAGCAACUGCCUCAGAGCAGUCAAUUUUUCCGACCACCAAUCGAUGGAAUGGUGCCGGUACGCAUUUUAUGUUUUGUUGGCCUGAAAGCAAAAGAGGUGGGGGGAGGAGCGAAGGAGGAGUGAGUGGGUACUGCUUUUGAGAUGCAAUCUGUUCCCACACCAUACCCCUCAGUACCCGCAAGUACAUGGCAAGCGAAGCAGGACACUGAGGUCCAUAAAUCUGUUUUCUAAGAGUGGAAUGGUAAGCAUGACUGUGUUGGAACCAAGAUAAAUUAGGACAGAUGUACCGAAAUACUGGAUGGGCAAGGAGGAGAAGUUUGGAUUAAGAGCAAGGAUAUAUAUAUAUAGAGAGAGAGAGAGAGAGAGAGAGAGAGCUGGAUCAUGAGAUGGAAAUCUUGUUAGGAUGUUAGUUAAAAGAGAUACGGUGCCGAUGUGAAGCAUUUUUUGAGAAGAGUUGGAUGCAAAUGAUGUCUUAGCUUCCAGCUAGACUAAAUGUCUCUUGGCCUGUUUCAGGCACUGCACUAUUUCAGAGCAAGGAAUGCGGCAAAUAACUUUGGGGUACACUGUGUGUUUUGUGACGGCACAUUCAUAUGCAGCGGAGUCCAGCAAAUCAUAAACAAGGCAAUGUUCUUUGUUUAAUGUGACUGUAAAAAGAAGCCAGUGACUUGAAAAACAACAACCUAUUUUACUUUUGAAACUCAAAAGUGUUGGUUUUGCUGUAUGAAAGAGGAUGGCUUUUUUUGUUUGGAAAUUGGCCAUUGUAUCCUGGACUGUUCUGAGACUGUGAUUCCUAAGUGACCUCCAGACCAUGCAAGCCACUAGGGGUGUUUUUUGAGAGCUGUAGCAGGACAAUCAGACUGGAGUUCUGGCACCGUCCUCAAACUGGCUUCAUUCAUACAUAUACACACAGAGCAUCUUCAAGGGUAGCAAAAGCAGCAUAUAUGCAUAAAAUAACAUAUUACACAAUGGGACACGGGUGGCGCUGUGGGUUAAACCACAGAGCCUAGGACUUGCCGAUCAGAAGGUCGGCGGUUCGAAUCCCCGUGACGGGGUGAGCUCCCGUUGCUUGUUCCCUGCUCCUGUCAACCUAGCAGUUUGAAAGCAUGUCAAAGUGCAAGUAGAUAAAUAGGUACCGCUCCGGCAGGAAGGUAAACGGCGUUUCUGUGCGCUGCUCUGGUUCACCAGAAGCAGCUUAGUCAUGCUGGCCACAUGACCUGGAAGCUGUACGCCGGCUCCCUCGACCAAUAAAGCGAGAUGAGUGCCGCAACCCCAGAGUCUAUCACGACUGGACCUAAUGGUCGGGGGUCCCUUUACCUUUACCAUAUUAUACAAAGUAAAAUGGAUGUAAUACAAACUCAUUUUUUUAAAAACAAGGCAGUUUUAUAGGAGCUAUUAUCAAGCACAUGGCCAUGCAACCUGUUUGUUUGACUUUCAGCACUGAAAUGAGUAUUAGACCAUGUUUAUCUUUGUGUAGCACUGAAAUUAGUAUUAAAUACUAUUUAGCUGCAUGUAGCAUGUGUUAAUUAAUUAAUAUCAAAACACCCACAUGGGGGGGGGGAAGCUUUGUUAGCUUUUCAAGUAAAAUUUAACCCGUACAAGAAAAUGCAUAACAAGAAUGUUGCCUGUUAAUGUGCCAGUUGACAAAAAUAAGUGCUAUGUGCCAUCCUCCUGAAAAGUCAUAUAUUAAGUUAAUAACUGAUGGUAUGGAAAAGUGAGCAACCAGUUUUUAAUUUUCCAUAGAACCUUCUUAAUCACUGUAUUUCCCCCAAAAGAAUGUGUUUUAUGACCAUGACAGAAGAUGCCGGCUCUCUUUAUUAUUCUGUUGCGUGCUUGCUGCCUUGUAGCCGGAUGUUAAUUAGGAAACAAGUCAUACUUUAUUAUUAUUUCUUAAAGUUGGCAUUCCGAUAUUGGCACACCAAGCUCCAAUCCACAAGCAACUUUAUGUGCAAGAUUUUAAGGGUUAGGCAGAUUGUUUGCUAGCAAUCUGACAUUUUUAAAAUCUGUUCUGCCCUGAGACAUUGUUGGGAGAGGAGGCAUACUUCCUGUCACCUCCCCUUAUUUCUCCUCUGACCCAAAUCCUGCCUCUUGUUCUUCCACUUCUGCCAAGGACUUGGAGGAUGACCACUUCAUUCCUUGCUGGAAGAAAUGAUACUCUAGCAAGGUGGGAAGAAACCCCAUUUGAAGGCAGUUUCUCCCAGGACUUAAUGGCAACAGAUUAAGAAGUGGUGGUGCCAAAAUCUCCAGAGGGGAAGCAGCAUAAUGCAAUCAAGUGAAUUGGGCAGAAAGAGAAGUUCCCAUCUUCCUCUAGCGUAGCCUUCUCCUACCACCCAUGUGUUAAGAUGCUAUUGCCAACCCCAAUCCCUAAAAUCUUGAACAGUGAGGACUUCACUGCAUACUUGUUCUUCUCCGAUAAUGACUGGAGAGGCAUUUAGAUGCCUAGCGUGAGGGUAACAUGUAUGGUUUGUAACCUAUAAUUUCUUCAAGCCAAUCUGGUGUAGUGGUUGAGAGUGUUGGACCAGGACCCAGAUGUCCACAAUUCAAAACCCCAUGCAGCCAUGAAGCUUUACUGGGUGACCUUGGGCCAAAGGGGGUUGUGAAACUGAGUUUUUCAUGGUGCAUACAAUCCGAAAUUGGCUUUGCUCUCCUGUUGCAAGCACUAGAUUGACUAGCUCCUACAAAGUGUGAUAUAUGAAUUCUCAGCUCCUGAAAUAGUGUCCCCACUUUUCCAAGUUUAAUUAUUUAAGGCAAUUUUAACUUUACUGUACAUAUUUUUUUAUUCCACAGCUCUUUCUACACCCAGUGGCAAUAAAAUCUGCAUUUCUUUUGUGGCUGAAAAAUAGAUCCUCUUGUGGUUAAACCAGCAACCACAGGCAUUGAAAUAUUUUCACCACUUGGCGACACAUUUAUUUAUCCAUUUAACAUUGCAAGAUUUGAGGACUUUAUCAUCCAGAUGGAAGAGGUUUACGAGGCCCAAGCUCUCAGAUGCUGGAUUGGGAAAAACAAAAACCCUUUUGCAUAGAGUGGUCACUGCUGGGUUAGGAUAAACCUUUAGUCUGUCUUAAGUCAGGGUUUCGGAGUCUUUUUCAGCCUGAGGUCCGUAUUUCUUCAUGGGUAGUCUUUUGGGGGCCAUAUACCAGUGGUGGUUGGGAGCGGAUGCAAACGUAGGCAGAGAAGUGGAUGAAACCUUUGUGCAUUUCUACCACACAAAAGUUGAUAUGUGUACAGACACUUUUCUCCGCCUUCCUUCCAGGAAACCAAGAGACCUUGUUGAUGUUUAGUGGCACAUUUCCAGUAGUCAAAAACACUCAAGGAAGAUGUGCCCCGUGAAAGACAUGUGCAGCUUGGGGAGAGUCCUGAAGGCCACAUUUGGCCUCUUGAGUCUGUGGUUCCCCAUCCUAGAUCUAUGACAAUUUCAUAGUGGGCAUGCAGUCAUAUUGGAUCCAGUGUCAGGGGUCAGGGCAUGGCAUGGUUGGACAUCCACCAAGGUCCAUGACCUGGGAAGGGGCCCACCACAGAGACGCUGCCUGCUCUGCUACCCCUCAGUUUAAUUAUUGGCACCCCUUUGAUCGCUUGUGCUCCAGCCCGGAGUGGAUGAGUUGGUGAGAGGCAAUUGCAGCAAAGAGGAAGCAGCGGCUUUCUCCUUUGCAAGCAGCAAUGGCAGUAGGGAGAAGGAGGGGGACCCCCCCCAUGCCUUUAGCAUGUUACAUAACAUCACCACACCCAUGAAAAAAAUCCCCUGGCGCUUGUCAAGUGCUAGGAAGUGUUUGAAAUUUUUACAAAAUUCCUGCAUUUGUACUGAAAAUCAUGACUGAAGGAAUUAAUUACAGUAUUUGCUACGUAGCUUAACUUCCGAAGCAAGCAUUAUGAGCAGCAGAAACGACUUGCCAAAAACCAGCAGCUGAGAAUGUGACAAACACUUUAAUGAGUAUCAGGUUUGUUUUGAAACUGGCAAAAAGUUUUUUUUGUUUCAAAAAGCUUAAUGGAAAAGAAGCUAUAUCCUUAAGCACAUUCACCAGAUGGGAGAAAAGUAUAAUCUUUGUCUAUCCUUUUUAUUUCUUCUUUAGGUUGGUUUUGCACUUGGCAAUGUAGUUGGGAUGUAUCUGGCCCAGAACUAUGAUGUAAGUAUUAUUUUGCUAGUUUCCUAUUGCUGAGCUUCUAUUAACAUUGUUUAUGGGGUUGCAGUUUUGUGGUAAGGCAGUUCCAUGUUCUGGUUCAUACCAUUUUCACAUGUUCACUUAGAAAUCCACUCUGUCCUGUUUCCUUGUUAAUCUGAUAUAUUUUAAAAGUCAGUACCAGUUGUCUAUCAGCAAAUUUUGAAGUGCAGGAGCCCAUCAUGACAGACCCUAUAUUCAUACCCCUAUGGAGAGUCCAAAAACGGAGUCAGCUGCAUUGACCCUUAUCUAACACACAUAAAAAGAUAAGAAGAGCUUGCUGGAUCAGGCCAGUGAUCUAUAUAAUCUAACAUCCUGUUCUCACAGUGGCCAACCAGAUGAAGCCCACAAGCAGGACCUGAUGUAGGCGCUUCCCGCCUCACACAAUAGAUGAAGGGGGGCAUGCCCACAUCAUUUCAUUGUGCAGUAUAUUUUUCUGCCCUUUAGAGUUGGCAGCCAUUUUGUGUGAUGUAGCCUCCACAGCAGCCAUUUUGUAACAGGUGCCCAUAGCAGUUUCUCAAAAUCCCAGUGCUUCCACUGGCCCAAAAAGUUUGGCGAUAUCAUUGAAAUUCUACUCAAUAUAAUCCAGAGCAGAUUCCAACGUAUAGUUAGCGCAGUAACAACUUAAACACGUUGCAGGAUUCCCCAAAAAUAGACCAAAGGCAAUUGUAUUUCAUCCAAUAGAGCUUUACUGCUACUGAAGGCAAAUAAGCAUAAUGGUCACAAAUCCAAUACAUACAGGAUUGGCACUGUCCAUAAGAAAUCCAGUUGCAGCAGACUUAACUUAAACUUACAAUAACUUAUAAUAAGUCUAAACCUUAACACUAAGCAUACUACGUAUAGAACACCAGAACAAGAGAGAGACAGAAAGAGAGAGCCCUGUUGUAGGGUUUCAGAACCAAACAAUAAUUCUCUUCCCCCUGCCCACCUGCCAAACACCCAGCCUUUCUUACCACACAGACUGAUGAAGAUAAAUGGAAAGCUUGCUCACUGCAUUGUGGCAUUUUGGUUGGCCUACUGAUGGUAUUGCCAUGCUACAGACAAAGAAUUCUGUGAACAGUAGAAGAUUCUGAUAUCCUGUUCUGCUUUCAAAUAGGUUCCGAACAUUUCAAAGAAGAUUGAAGACAUCAAGAGAGACGUGGAAGCUAGAAAGAAGCCUCCGAACGACAAAUGAUGUUUACCUAGCCGUCUCUGUAUUAAAUGUAGAUCAUGUAGUUUUGCCACUAGGUCGCAGAUGCCAAACCUUCAUGUGGCUUUUCUGGAUUUCCUCCAGAUGUGUAGUCUUGAAAAACCAAGCUGCCCUCAGGCUGAAGUGUCACCACAUCCAAGGGACCUUCUAGCACUUUCUGGAUAUUUGACUUCUUUUUCUUUCUUUCUUUUUACCCCAUGUGUAAUAAGAAAAACCAUGCAGGGAGAGACUAAGAGAUUGGACUAUUGUUCUCAGUGUUUGUUUUCAAUAAUAUUUUCUAUUCAGUAUUAAUUUGAUUUUGAAGUAGAGUAAUGAAAUUAAUUAUUCCAGUGUGACAAUCAGUAAUGGUCUGGCUGUAGAAGUGACUCAUGAAAGAAAUUAAAAUGCGUCAGGAAUUAGCAUCCAAAGAUUUUUAAUGGUAUUUUAAAAAUUAAUUCAGUGUUUUUUUGUACAACCUAUUUGUAACAUACUAAAUCACAGAUAAAAAUCCUCCUCUCUUUCCCCCCUCUGAAGUGAGAGGCUUUUUUUAUUUUAACCUUGUUGAUUCUUAUGCUGUGUAUUUUCCAUGCAAAAGAAGUGCGAAUUAUUGAGCAAAUCAGAGAACAUUGAAAUAAGUUUCUGGUCUUGCUUUCAACCAUUUUCUUCUCUCAGGCAUUUUGCAUGGUUGCUCCUUAGAUUCAACAUUGGUUGCUUUUUUAAAAGUCUUACAACAUGCCCAAUAACAAAGUUGUUCCCUGUGAAGAGGAAUUGUCUCUCAAACUACUUUGAGAAUUGUAACUCUGUGAGGAGAAUUUGAGUCUCUUGACAACUCUGAACACCCUUAACAAAGUGCAGCUCCCAGAAUGCUUUGGGGAAGCCAUGGCUGUUUAAAGUGGCAUAACAGUGCUUUAAAUGCAUGGUGUGAAUGUGGCCUAAUUCUUGUUUUGUCCCUGGUCUGCUCUCUGCUGAGUUCCAUAAGGGAAUCUCCUCUCCUGAGAUAGGUGGCAAAUUAGCAGGUAUGAGGGGGUGAGAGCAGACUGAAGUGGGUAGAGCAGUGCCUCAUUCACCCUAAUGAACGAGUGUCCACUAUUCAGACAUUCACUUACAUGCAGUCAAUACUGUGCGAACUGGGAAUACAGGGCCAUGGGUGUUCGGCCCAUGCUUGUCCCUUCCCAAAGUUGUACAUACAAUUGGGAGGGUAUCUGCAUUAAGGUGGUCCAUGGGAUCCCUCUCUGCAGCAGUUGCCAUGGAAAACUCAUGGGCUGCAUUCCACUGGGCAGAUUUCUGAGGCAUUAGCAUGGGUACAUUGGGGGUGUGGAGCCUGAGGCUUGAGAGCUAAAUGUGGCCUCGCCUUUGUUCCCAUAUCCACUUCAUUUCUUGGCUGGAAUGUGUCCUUGAACUCUGACAAUUCCUCCCUAGAGGGAGGAUGAAGUAUGUGAGUGUGAUGACGCUGGGGGCAGAUGCUCCUUCUUCAGUGGGUGAGGUUGUGGACUCCACAUCAGAAGGGGAGCUGCACCCAGGAUCAGCCCCAGACAGGACAAACCCAUAGUGUCAUUGCUCCGUGGCCCACGGAUUUAUCGUUUCCACUCUCUGGCUCCAAAGAUCCCAUCACAGAAGCCUGAGUACAACCAGAGUCUUGCCAUCUCUGUAACCAUUGUUGAUGUUCUCAUGGACUUCUUGAAGACAUCUGGGUGGUCAUGGUGUGUGUGUGUGUGUGUGUGUGUGUGUGUGUGUGUCUGAGAAGUGUAAAUACUGAAGUAUGGUGAGCUAUUUCAACCAAUAAAAUGUGUUUACUUCACAGUGAAUGAACCGGGAGAUUAUUCCCUUGACUGGAGCUUGAGGUAUAUAUUUAUACAACCUUACAUACUGAAACCAGCAAUUCUCUUGGAUUAUGUCCAAGAGCAGACACCCCCAACCUGUGGCCCUCCAGAUGUUUUGGCCUACAACUCCCAUGAUCUCUAGCUAACAGGACCAGUGGUCAGGGAUGAUGGGAAUUGUAUUCCAAAACAUCUGGAGGGCUGAAAGAUGGGGAUGCCUGUCCUAGAGCUUCCUUUUUUUCUUUUUACUAUAUUUUGAGUCUGUGACAUACAUGUGCAUGCUGUUAUGCCGUGGUAAGAAAUCCCCUCUUCAAAUGAGAAUUUUUUGCGCUAAAAGAACUUGAAUUCCUUCACAGGCAUUUUAUCAAAGAAUGUUUUUGCUUCCUUUCCCAGAAAUGCAGAGUGUCCAUUCUGUAUACAGUACAAGGAAAAACAGAGGGGUCGCCCCGAACUCAUUUUUAAGGUUCCUGCUUAUUCAGAUCUUUUUUUUAACUUUCAGGCAAUUAACAAUUGCAAUUAACUUUCAGGCAAACAAAGCUGGUUCUAAACAAAGCCAAGAGACAUUCUGAUGUCAGUACCCAUUAAUGUGAAUUGAGUGGACUUCUUACGUCUCUUUUGAGAUCUGCAGUCCUUUGUACAUCAGCGGCGAUGGCUUUCGAAAGUCACUAAUGGGUUUCUGAAGUGCCAGAACUAUUUGGGAAGGGCACCCUGGUCUGUGGUGCUGACAUAAUUUUGAAGGUUCAAGUAGUAGCAAACACAGACCAGGAUUAGCAUAAACCUCCAUCUACUUCCAUGCCUGCAGGCAGAGAUUCUCUCAACCCUUGGUCCAUCUAGCUCAAUAUUGUCUACACUGAUUGGCAGUAGCUCUCCAGGGUUUCAGGCAAGGGGCAUUCCCAGCGCUACCUGGACAUGCCAAGAACUGAACCUGGGCUCUAUAGAGUAGGUGCUCGUAAUGUUACCAGUCGUGUUGAAGAGUGGAUCCACAUUGCUCCUCAUUGCAAGAAAACAAACAAAAUUGUAAUACCAGGGAUGUUUGUCUACUUAGAAGUCCGAAAGAGGUAUGCUUCUCUUCUAGUCUAUUGGCAAUGCCCAUUUCUAUGAAAAGGGAGGCAAUGGAGAUGUCAAAUGUCAGUGCUGAAUUUGUGGCUGAAAUCACUUAUGCAUUCAAAGCAAGAAAGGGAGCAGGCAGGGUUGAGGAGAUGUAUGUUUGUUGUUAUACUUUUAAAAAAAAAUCAGUGAAGAUAAUUAAAAAAUAAAAUAAAUGUAGGUCGAUACG